rnacentral:snRNA from 1 species
AUCACUUCUCGGCCUUUGGCUAAGAUCAAGUGUAGUAUCUACCAAGUGUAAUAAAUGAGAUUUUAUUGUAUAAAUAGUAUAUGUCAGUUCAGCGCCUGUGGCUCAAGCGGCUAAGGUGCCAGCCACAUACACCUGAGCUGGUGGGUUCGAAUCCAGCCCAGGCCCGCCAAACAAUG